AUUUGAUACUACUACUUGAUUUGAAAGCUAUGAAUUCUUUUUUUUAAAGCGGGUACAAAUAGAGUAACAAGUGGAAGAAGAAUAACGGGUAUAAAUGUUUAACCAUAUUGUGAGGCAUAUCGCAUGAGGGAUCAUAUACAAUGAGAAUGUAUGCAGGUAAAGUAUGUUCUUCAUGAU
rnacentral:sRNA from 1 species